GUGCUGCACUGUCGCCUCUGUCGCACUUCUCUGUGGGAGCUGACAUUUUGCUUGUACUUCAUCAGGCUGGACCACCUGCUGAGAGCCAGCUUGAUGUCCAAGUGACAUAUCAAGUAAAAAAUCCUUCCAGUUGGCCUCCAGGCUCAAGGUAAUUACAUUGUCUGCCCACAUAGGCUUUGCUGUAGAAAGCUGCCUAGAGAGAACACUUGACUUUCCAGUGGAUGGAAAGAGACAUUGGUAGAGAUCAUUCAAAGUGGUGGUUAUGAUGCCACCAUAUAGGACCAUCCUAGUCCCAGUUGCCAGGGAUAGUACAGAG
rnacentral:lncRNA from 1 species